AGAAUUUUGACACCAAAUAAGCCUUGAAAUGGUCGAAAAUGAUCAUGAGAGUACUAAGUUGUGUUGGGAAUGUAUAGAUGAUUUCAUGACAAAAUCCUUGUUGAUUUGAGCUCUUUUCGCUCCAAGGAACAUUUUGGUAAGAUUUGAUAAAGGAUGUAUAAAAUGGUGGAGCAUAGAAGUCCUAUUUGUGCACAUUACUAAACGAAGAAAAUUUUCAAGUGUCAAAAGUAACUAAUAUUUCAUCAUUGCAGACAAGUAGUUAGUGGUAAUACCAAAGUCAGAGAAACUACUACCGAAAGCUAAGAGAUAAAUAUCUAAAAGUGUAAAAUCAGUAUUCUAUAAUAGUAAAAUCGGUAUUAUUUCAAAGUGUACACGUGAUGAAUGGUGAGUGAUUUUUAGUGUUGCCGAAUUCUGUACUAUAGUAACACUCAGUAAACGAUAAACUAGAAAUACAUAUACUAUUACAACUAACCAAUAUUCUAAUUUGUUCUACUAUGGCCAGUCUUGGGAGUGCAAGUUUUAUAACUAAAGAAGAUCUUAGCACAUUUGCUGCUGCAAUGAGAUUCAUACUGUGCUACCUUUUUUCGGAAAAUGUUACAAUAAUGCAUUGGUAAUUCAUAAUCUGGAAAAAUAAAGGGUAAAAUAUGAAAAAAUUUUGUGUGAUUUGCCAAAUGUUUAAUUUAACUCCCUCUGAUUUGAAAAUUUGCACUAUAGUUCCCUGCGGUUUCAACUAAAUUUAUAAUUGAGUGGAAAGCAUCCAAUUUAACGGUUGUACAUUAAAUGUCAAUAUUGCCCAUGCUAUAUGUGAAAUACUUUCCGUUCAAUUUUUAAUUUAGUCAAAAUUUCAGAGAGUUAUAAUGUAGUUUUUCAAACCAAAAGGAGUUAAAUUGAAUAUUCGACAAACCACGGGAAGUUCAUUUAUAUAGGGGCAAUAUUGAUAUUUCACAUAUAACCGUUAGAUUAAAUGAUUUUCGUCCAAUUUUUAAUUUAAUUGAAAUCACAGGGAGCUAUGGUGUAGGUUUCCAAACUAGAGAGAGUUAAAUUGAACAUUUGACAAAUUGCAAAGAGCUUUUUUGGUAUUUUAACAAAAAAAAAAAAGGCCAAACCAACCUCUUUUAGAUCUUGGAUUUUGCUAACAUCAAAUUCAGUAAAAUCAGAAUAGAUCUAAUCUCUAAUAUUUGAUAAAACAAUUUGGAAAUAGAUCCUAAAGUUAGCUUCCCAAAUUUGUAAAUUACUUAUGACAACAUUACAUAUAGAACAAAUUACCUGUAUAGCCACUGAACUUUUUGAAUAGUCAAGAUUUGACCACUCAAUUAUUAAUAGUAUGUUUUUACCAACUAAACUAUCAAAUGUAUAAAUUUUAAACCAUUGCAUCUGAUUCCACCGUUAACUCUGUCAGAUCUAAGGAUUCACUUGAUUUACGAGACAUAUUAUUAAUAGUUAGAUUUGGCAAAGUUAAUGGUAAAAUUAGACGGGAUGGUCCAAAUUUUAUACUUUUGAUAAUUCAUUGAGUAAAACCAUACUAUUAAUAGUUGAGUGGUCAAAAAUCAACUAUUCAAAAGGUUUAGUAACUACCCAGAAAAUUUGCUCUUGCAUAUAUUAUAUGUAUUGACAUCUAUACUAAUUUAGUAUUAAGUGAUAACUAUGUAAUAAGUGAUGAUACUAGGUACUAAUUAACUUUUUUUAUUUUUUGUCCCUUCCCUCCCCUUCCACACUGCUUGAUACAAGACCCAUACCCUGGAAUUGACAAUAGGAAUAGCUCUUCGUUUGAAUUUAGGAUUUUGAUGAAGGAUUUGAAAUCCAUCCAAUUUGCUUUAAUUAUUUAAAUUAUUUAAUAGGUAUUUGGGUUUAUAAUAUAUUGGCAUAUUAAAUCAAGAACUUUCAUCUCCUCUAUGACAUGCUUGUUUUCUUUGUUAUCAUCAAAACUCUCCCACUGAGAUUACCAUUUUAAUGAACUAUAUCAUUCAAACAAUAACGACAUUGAGUUAUCCUUUCAGACACAUUACACAUGCUGGAGAAGAUCCACUGUGUUAGAGUUAAACACUAUCAGAUUCCCACUUCUAUUUUCCUGAUGCUUCCUAUCCUGUGAAUUUACCGAUCAUAAAGUGGUCAAAGAAUGGAGAGGAAAUAACAUGGCAAAAACUUCAUCAUCAAACGACUCUACUUGAUUAACCAAUCAAAGGUUGGAAGCAGUACCUCUCUGUAAUAUGUAGCAUGUCCUUAAUAAUUUCCACCACACGCUGCAACUUUGAGUUUUCUUCAUUUUCCUUGAUUUCCAGUGUUAAAUCGUGAAAAUUUUAGAAAUGAAAGAAUUCUGGUACAGUAUAUCCAAGAAAGAAGGUCUGCAAAAUCUUGGCAAUGAAAGUUUGACAAAAUCUCUGCACCACUGGAGAACUAAGCAGAUAAACUGAAGAGUGGAUACUUACACACAUGGCCCAAAAACGACAACUAUAUUUUUAAAAUCGAAACGGAAACAGCAUGUGCGAGACAUGCAACUGAAAAAUUUGAUUAAUUUGGCAAUUACUACUCAUGUGUAUAAGAAACAAUUCUAACAGAAUAUAUGUGAGCCAAGAAAAACCAAUGUUCAAGGCAAGACACGUUUAGAAGGGUUAACAUAGUAUAACAAAAUUCUUUUUAUGUUUUAGACAGACAAUGUUUUAGCUAGGGAGGAAGUGAGGAAUAGCAUAGCUAACCUCAGUUUUUAUGCGCUAAGCAUAUAUUUUGAUGAGGAAUGGUCAAAUCCUCAGUGUCGCAGACACUUGUAUAGUGCAGCUUGAGCCUUUGCUCAUUAGGUGUAAAUUUUUGCACAAGUUAAUAUAAUUAAUUAUCGUUUCCGGAAAAAAGAAAAAAAAAAAA
rnacentral:lncRNA from 1 species